GGGCCCGUAGCUCAGCGGUAGAGCGGCCGGCUCAUAACCGGUAGGUUGCUGGUUCGACACCAGCCGGGCCCACCA
rnacentral:tRNA from 3 species